AGCCGGCGGGAGGGAGCGCUUAAAGGGCCAGACGGGUUGAGCACUGGGGGCUGAGAGGGGCGCCUGAGGGAAGCGUAGCGUCCUCCGCCAUGGAGCCGUCAGCCACAGACUUCAGCCUUCAAGCCGGCGAGGGCAGCUCCAAAGCGGAGGGAGGGCGGCGGCGGCCAGCGGUGUCCGUGGGGGCCGUGCUGCCUGCCGGGGGAAGCGGGGAACGCAUGGGCGGCGGCACUCCCAAGCAGUUCUGCGCCUUGCUGGGGAGACCGCUCGUCAGCUACACUAUACAAGCUGUGGAAAGAAUCAGCUGGAUAUCUGAUAUUGUCGUGGUGGUAUCACAAGAGAAUGUUGAAAUAAUGAAGUCUAUAAUUAAAAAAUAUGGCCACAGGAGAACAACAGUAGUCGAAGGUGGAGUAACUCGUCACAGAUCUAUCUUCAGUGGACUGAAUGCAUUUAUGAAGAGCAACCAUUCUAGUCCCCUACUCCAGAAACCAGAAGUAGUAAUAAUCCAUGAUGCUGUGAGACCAUUUGUUGAGGAGGAUAUUCUUUUUAAAGUUGUUACGGCUGCUGAAGAACAUGGGGCAGCAGGAGCAAUCCGUCCUCUUGUCUCCACUGUUAUUGCUUCCUCUGCAGAUGGAUGUUUAGACCAUUCACUAGAUCGUGCCAAGUACAGAGCAAGUGAAAUGCCUCAGGCUUUCUUAUUCGAUAUAAUCCAUCAAGCAUAUCAUCAGUGUAGUGAUUAUGAGCUUGAUUAUGGAACAGAAUGUUUGCAUCUGGCUCUAAAAUACAGCAAAACAAAGGCUAAACUUAUUGAAGGGCCUCCUGAUUUAUGGAAGGUUACCUACAAGAGGGAUCUCUAUGCAGCGGAUUCUUUAAUUAAGGAUACCAUGUUACAACAAAUUUGUAUUAUCAGUAAUACAAAGGGAGAUGCCACACAAGUGGGGUUUCUGCUUCAUGAAACAUUGAAGAAUCAUGUGAAAGUGGUUAAAAGUACAGCUACAUCUGUUUCUGAAAAUGCUAAUCAUUUACAAAACAUCUUAUUAGAACAGUGCUACAACUUUGUUUGCAUAAAUAAUAAACUGUCUGACCUUCGAGAGACUCAUCAGCUAGUACAAAUACUUGAAAGCACAAAUGCUUCUGUUCUAUAUCCUGUUGUUCUCAUCUCGGUACAUUUGGAUAUUUUAGAAAAUGAUUUUUUUAGCAGUGGAAUGCAAAGCUUAACUAAACUUGCAAAGGAAAUAAAAAAGAAGAAUAUUUUGCUUUAUGGUCUCGUUAUGCAUUAUAGGAAGCUUGUGCCCAUCCCUGGAUUACCAGGAUGGAGAGAAACAGCCUAGAAAGAAAUAAAAGAACAGAAAACAGAAGAGAAGGAGCACUGUGAUCUGGAUCAGAUUUUUUAAACUCAGGAGAAGACAGGAACUUUGGCCUGUAAGAAAAAUGUGGAUAUAGAAAUCAUGAAAGGAUGAUGUGAAGCUUCAAGAGACUGUAGAUUCGUCUGUUUCACUUAUCACAGCUUUAAUGAGGGACAGAAAUCCUGUCUUUGUUGGCCAGAUUCUAGUAGCAUGAAACAGAAUGGCAGAUUUUUCAAGAAGACUUUUUACAGUCUUUCAUAUUUUUUUAAAAAAACAUGGGUGUGUCUGUAUCCAUAUUAGGAGGGAAACUGUUAUCUACAAAUAUGCAAAUUGCUUCAUUAUAAACAACAUUUUGACUGAAAUAAAAUUCAGAAGACUACCGAGUGCAUCUCAAGCUAUCUGGCAUGGGAGACCAGCAUUUUCUCUCUCAGUGUUCCUGAGGUUGGCUUCAUAUUUAUACCAUAUGAAUUGGGUUAGUAUAGUUUCCUGGAAACAUGCUAUGGACCAGUAGACUGGCAUCAAACUACAGACUCCUACUUUUAACAACACUGCACUGAAAAUAAAUUUACCAUCAAAAGAAAAUGGGGACUUAAGUACAAUUGAAGUUACCUUUGUACUUUGAAUGAAAAUAUGAAUAUAUAAGAGGAAUAUAUAAUAUAAAAUAUAGUUAUUAUAAGGUA